GCUAUCAACCACUCAGCCAUCUCUCC
rnacentral:tRNA from 5 species